rnacentral:rRNA from 1 species
UACGUAGGGGGCGAGCGUUGUCCGGAUUUAUUGGGCGUAAAGAGCGUGUAGGCGGCCAGGUGGGUCUGCUGUGAAAACUCGAGGCUCAACCUCGAGACGUCGGCGGAAACCAUCUGGCUAGAGUCCGGAAGAGGAGAGUGGAAUUCCUGGUGUAGCGGUGAAAUGCGCAGAUAUCAGGAAGAACACCCGUGGCGAAGGCGGCUCUCUGGGACGGUACUGACGCUGAGACGCGAAAGCGUGGGGAGCGAACAGG